rnacentral:rRNA from 1 species
AGCAUGUGGUUAACUUCGAAGCAACGCGAAGAACCUUACCAGGUCUUGACAUCCCUGACAACCCGAGAGAUCGGGCGUUCCCCUUCGGGGGACAGGGUGACAGGUGGUGCAUGGUUGUCGUCAGCUCGUGUCGUGAGAUGUUGGGUUAAGUCCCGCAACGAGCGCAACCCUCGACCUUAGUUGCCAGCAUUCAGUUGGGCACUCUAAGGUGACUGCCGGCUAAAAGUCGGAGGAAGUGGGGGAUGACGUCAAAUCAUCAUGCCCCUUAUGACCUGGGCUACACACGUGCUACAAUGGGCGGUACAAAGGGUCGCGAACCCGCGAGGGGGAGCCAAUCCCAAAAAGCCGCUCUCAGUUCGGAUUGCAGGCUGCAACUCGCCUGCAUGAAGCCGGAAUCGCUAGUAAUCGCGGAUCAGCAUGCCGCGGUGAAUACGUUCCCGGGCCUU